ACUUAAAUAGCUUAUAUUAGAGCAUAACACUGAAGAUGUUAUUGAAAUCAAUAGAUUUUUGAGUA
rnacentral:tRNA from 1 species